rnacentral:rRNA from 1 species
UCCACGGAAGUUUUCAGAGAUGAGAAUGUGCCUUCGGGAACCGUGAGACAGGUGCUGCAUGGCUGUCGUCAGCUCGUGUUGUGAAAUGUUGGGUUAAGUCCCGCAACGAGCGCAACCCUUAUCCUUUGUUGCCAGCGGUCCGGCCGGGAACUCAAAGGAGACUGCCAGUGAUAAACUGGAGGAAGGUGGGGAUGACGUCAAGUCAUCAUGGCCCUUACGACCAGGGCUACACACGUGCUACAAUGGCGCAUACAAAGAGAAGCGACCUCGCGAGAGCAAGCGGACCUCAUAAAGUGCGUCGUAGUCCGGAUUGGAGUCUGC